rnacentral:rRNA from 1 species
AUAUUGCACAAUGGGGGGAACCCUGAUGCAGCGACGCCGCGUGAGUGAAGAAGUGCUUCGGUAUGUAAAGCUCUGUCAGUAGGGAAGANGAUGACGGUACCUGACCAAGAAGCCCCGGCUAACUACGUGCCAGCAGCCGCGGUAAUACGUAGGGGGCCAGCGUUAUCCGGAUUUACUGGGUGUAAAGGGAGCGCAGACGGCGCGGCAAGUCCGGAGUGAAAGCCCGGGGCCCAACCCCGGGACUGCUCUGGAAACUGCGGCGCUCGAGUGCCGGAGGGGCAGGCGGAAUUCCUAGUGUAGCGGUGAAAUGCGUAGAUAUUAGGAGGGACACCAGUGGCGAAGGCGGCCUGCUGGACGGCAACUGACGUUGAGGCUCGAAAGCGUGGGGAGCAAACAGG